AUGGAUAUUGCAAUUCUGAAUUGGAACGUCCGGGAAUUAAAUAACCCGGCAAAGAGAAGGGCUGUACAAUUGUUUGUCGCUGAGCUAAAGUGUAAUCUGAUUUGCCUGCAAGAAACUAAAAUCAAUGACAUGACCAGGAGCUUAGUGUUGGAGACCUUGGGGCACCGUUUUGCUGAUAAUUUCAUUACCUUACCUGCCAAUGGGUCUAGAGGAGGGGUAUUGCUUGCUUUCUCAGAUGAUUUUGAGAUUUCUGAGGUCCCCUUGGCAACAGGCGUUCACUCCAUCUCUGGUACAAUAAAGCAUAAAUCGGAUGGCAGCAGCUGGUCAAUCAUUGGGGUCUAUGGCCCUCAGUUAGAGGCUAAAAAAUUGGGGUUCAUUGCUGAGAUAAGAGGGAUUAAGCAACACAUGCUGCCGAAAUGGAUGGUUUUGGGAGAUUUCAACAUGAUCAGACGGGCUGAUGACAAGAGCAAUUUUAACUGCAAUCUCCGGAUGAUGGGCAGAUUCAGGGCACUCAUCGAGGAUCUGGAACUAAUUGAUUUCCCAUUGUUGGGGAGGAGGUUCACCUGGUCUAACGAGCGUCAAAACACCAAUCUCACCAAAAUUGACAGAGUGCUGGUAUCUGGCGAGUGGGAAGCUGCCUUUCCCCAAUUUCAGUUGAGCCCAGCAUCGACGAAUAUCUCCGAUCACUGCCCUUUAGUGCUGAAAAAGAUGCAGCUUGCUCACUGCAGGGCCUUUCAUUUCGAGAACCAUUGGCUAAAAUCUUCGGAGUUUGACGGGAUUAUUGAGCAAGCUUGGAGUAAAGAGGUCACAUCCGGGGAUCCAAUUAGGGUGAUGCACACAAAAUUGUCCAGAACUGCAGCGGCACUAAAAAAGUGGAACAAGCAGAAUGUGCGAUGGGCUUCUUUCAUGUCUAGAAUUGCAAAUGAAGUUAUCUUUCAGCUUGACCUUGCGCAAGAGAACAGACAAUUGACAGAAGCAGAGAGAAAGUUGAGGAGUCUACUAAAAGCCAAGUUGUUGGGAUUUGCGGCCAUUGAUAGAACUAGAUGGAGGCAGAAGUCAAGAUUGACCACGAUCAAGGAAGGAGAUGCCAGCACCCGUUUUUUUUCACCUCAGGGCCAACGGGCGGCGCAGGAAGAACCAUAUUCCAGUGCUAAAUGA
rnacentral:rRNA from 1 species